rnacentral:rRNA from 1 species
AUGCAAGUCGAGCGGACAGAUGGGAGCUUGCUCCCUGAUGUUAGCGGCGGACGGGUGAGUAACACGUGGGUAACCUGCCUGUAAGACUGGGAUAACUCCGGGAAACCGGGGCUAAUACCGGAUGGUUGUUUGAACCGCAUGGUUCAAACAUAAAAGGUGGCUUCGGCUACCACUUACAGAUGGACCCGCGGCGCAUUAGCUAGUUGGUGAGGUAACGGCUCACCAAGGCAACGAUGCGUAGCCGACCUGAGAGGGUGAUCGGCCACACUGGGACUGAGACACGGCCCAGACUCCUACGGGAGGCAGCAGUAGGGAAUCUUCCGCAAUGGACGAAAGUCUGACGGAGCAACGCCGCGUGAGUGAUGAAGGUUUUCGGAUCGUAAAGCUCUGUUGUUAGGGAAGAACAAGUACCGUUCGAAUAGGGCGGUACCUUGACGGUACCUAACCAGAAAGCCACGGCUAACUACGUGCCAGCAGCCGCGGUAAUACGUAGGUGGCAAGCGUUGUCCGGAAUUAUUGGGCGUAAAGGGCUCGCAGGCGGUUUCUUAAGUCUGAUGUGAAAGCCCCCGGCUCAACCGGGGAGGGUCAUUGGAAACUGGGGAACUUGAGUGCAGAAGAGGAGAGUGG